rnacentral:rRNA from 1 species
UAUUGUCCAAUGGAGGAAACUUUGACCCAAAGACCCCGCGGUGGGAAAGAUGGCCUUUCGGUUGUAAACCGCUUUCAUUUGGGAAGAAGUGAAAAUGACGGUACCUACAAAAUAAGCACCGGCUAACUAUGUGCCAGCAGCCGCGGUAAUACAUAGGGUGCAAGCGCUGUCCGGAAUUAUUGGGCGUAAAGAGCUCGCAGGUCGUUUGUUAAGUCGGAUGUGAAAUCCCGAGGCUCAACCUCAGACCGGCAUUCGAUACGGCCAAACUAGAGUUUGGUAGGGGGGGGUGGAAUUCCUGGUGUAGCGGUGGAAUGCGCAGAUAUCAGGAGGAACACCAAUGGCGAAGGCAGCUCUCUGGGCCAAUACUGACACUGAGAGCGAA